rnacentral:rRNA from 1 species
CCUACGGGUGGCUGCAGUGGGGAAUAUUGCACAAUGGGCGCAAGCCUGAUGCAGCCAUGCCGCGUGUGUGAAGAAGGCCUUCGGGUUGUAAAGCACUUUCAGCGGGGAGGAAGGCGUUAAGGUUAAUAACCUUGGCGAUUGACGUUACCCGCAGAAGAAGCACCGGCUAACUCCGUGCCAGCAGCCGCGGUAAUACGGAGGGUGCAAGCGUUAAUCGGAAUUACUGGGCGUAAAGCGCACGCAGGCGGUCUGUCAAGUCGGAUGUGAAAUCCCCGGGCUCAACCUGGGAACUGCAUUCGAAACUGGCAGGCUAGAGUCUUGUAGAGGGAGGUAGAAUUCCAGGUGUAGCGGUGAAAUGCGUAGAGAUCUGGAGGAAUACCGGUGGCGAAGGCGGCCCCCUGGACAAAGACUGACGCUCAGGUGCGAAAGCGUGGGGAGCAAACAGGAUUAAUACCCGGGUAGUC